UACGAACUGUGCGAACGUUAUUCGGAAUCACUGGGCUUACAGGGUGCGUAGGCGGCUUGUUAAGUAGGGUGUGAAAUCCCCCGGCUCAACCGGGGAAGGGGCGCCGAGACGACCGCCCUGGAGCGACGUAGGGGGGACUGGAACUUCCGGUGGAGCGGUGAAAUGCGUUGAGAUCGGAAGGAACGCCCGUGGCGAAAGCGAGUCCCUGGACGUCGGCUGACGCUGAGACGCGAAAGCCAGGGGAGCGAACGGG
rnacentral:rRNA from 1 species